CGCAUCUGUGCAUGCAGCAUAUCAAUAAGCGGAGGAAAAGAAACUAACAAGGAUUCCCUUAGUAACGGCGAGUGAAGCGGGAAGAGCUCAAAUUUGAAAUCUUCAAGGUUUUACCUUGACGAAUUGUAGUUUAAAGAAGUGUUUUCUGUUGAAGUUUUGGUAAAAGUUCUUUGGAAUAGGACAUCAUAGAGGGUGAGAAUCCCGUAUUUGACCAUUAUUUUCAGCUGUGUGAUACACUUUCAAAGAGUCGGAUUGUUUGGGAAUGCAGUCCAAAAUGGGUGGUAAAUUUCAUCUAAAGCUAAAUAUUGGCGAGAGACCGAUAGCGAACAAGUACCGUGAGGGAAAGAUGAAAAGAACUUUGAAAAGAGAGUUAAACAGUACGUGAAAUUGUCAAAAGGGAAGCGUUUGACACCAGUGUUGUUUUUCUCGAAAAUCAAUUACAAAUGAGCUUAGAUUUUGUGUUGUAUCGACCUUAAUCAGCUUUCUGCACUUUUUCGAUUCUUUCUUAAUGCACUUUUCGUUUAACAAGUCAACAUCAGUUUCUUUUGUUGUAAAAGAGUCAUUCGGAAGGUGGCUUUCUUUUCGGAGAAAGUGUUUAUAGCCUAUGACUUCUGCAAUCGGAGAGAUUGAGGUCUGCAGCGUAGAUCCUUCGGGGUUAGAUACACUUGUGCUAAGUUAUAGCUUUUUCAUAGACAACUUGUUGACUAUGAUUAGUCAUGUCGCUUACUCGCUUAUGCUAUUUUACCUACGCUUAGGAUGUUGAAGACUCUACAGAGAU
rnacentral:rRNA from 1 species